AUGUGGAACCAUAUCCGCGGACCUCCCUCCUCAGAAAACUCAGGCCGGGAACAUUGCCUACAUCCACGGGUCUUCACAGGGACAGUUCAUCGUUGAAACGUAUAUUGUGGCUGUACUAAAUGCAGCUGUUGUGUUAGGAAUGAUUCUCAUGACUGAGGCAGCAAACAAGCGAGACGAUGUGCGCAAAACGGCGCAUCUAUGCCAUCAUUGGACUUGGUCUCGUAGCAUUUUCUUCUCUUUGUCACUCUCAAUCUUCCGAUCGAAGGCACAUGGUUACCCAUACAGCUUUCUACUUAAAUAAAAGACAGAGAAAUUAGAAAAUUAAAUACAAGGAAGUCAUAAAGGUUUUCUGAUUAAAGUUCUCAUUGCUUGUAUUUAUGGAUUUCUCUCAUUCUAAUUUGGUGACUU